AUUGUGUGUUUUCAAAAGACAUUCCAGAAUCUUCGGGGUGGGAUGGGGUUGAUUUGGGGCUUUUUUGUUUUGUUUUGUUUUGUUUUGUUUUGUUUCUUCCUUUUGUUCAUGUAUGAAAGUCAGAAGUAACUUUUGGUUUUGUUCUGUUGGUUCAGUUUUGUUUCAUGGAUUGCCAAGCUCAGCUCUGCUGACGAGAGACAAACUCGAGGGGUGGGGUGGGACGGGGGGGACGCGGCAGGGGGAGAGCCUGGAGCUGGGACAGGACGGAGCGUGGACAGUCGGACAGUGGGAACCUGGCUGUGGCCACUAACGGCCACCGAUGGCCACCAACAGGCACCAAGCCUGGAGAGCUGGACAGCAGGAACCUGGCUGUGGCCACCAACGGCCACCAACGGCCACCAAUGGCCACCAAUGUCCACCAAUGUCCACCAAUGGGCACCGAGCCUCCUGGAGAGCAGGAACCUUGCUGUGGCCACCAACGGCCACCAAUGGCCACCAACGGCCACCAAUGGCCACCAACAGGCAUUGAGACUGAGAGCCGGACAGCAGGAACCUGUCUGUGGCCACCAAUGGCCACCAAUGGUCACUGAGCCUCCUGGAUAGCAGGAACCUGGCUGUGGCCACCAAGCCUGGAGAGCUGGACAGUGAGAACCUGGCUGUGGCCACCAAUGGCCACCAAUGGCCACCAACGAGCAUCAAGACUGGAGAGACAGACAGCGAGAACCUGGCUGUGGCCACCUGUGGCCACCGGAGAGUGGCCGAGUGGAUCCUCAGCUGCUGCUGACUUUGAGGGACCAAAAAUUGCCCAACGCCUCGUCCAGAGCAACAGUGACCAAGGGACAUGGCCAGAGGUGGACACAGCCAGAAGUGGACACAGCCAGAGGUGGACACAGCAGAGGUGGACACAGCAGUGGUGGACACAGCCAGAAGUGGACACAGCCAGAGGUGGACACAGCCAGAGGUGGACACAUCAGACAUGGACAUGUCAGAGGUGGACACAGCCAGAGAUGGACACAGAUGGACACACCCACAACUGGCCACACCCAGGGACGCUCUCCCAGCUCCACCGCUCUCCCCGGCCUGCCGCUGACCCCUGCCACCCCUGGGGGACAUUCAUGACCUCGAGGGGCUUCCUUUGGCCCCCCAUCCCCAUCCCACCCCAGCACGGCCGGCCUCGGCCUCGCCGCCGCAGCAGAUCGGCUCCUUUGUGUAUUUAACGCUUCUAACCCGCCCUCCCCGGCACCCCGCGGGUCCCCCCUAGCUCCGUAGGGCACUCCCCGUCCCCCGAUUCCUGCGGGAUUGUCGCUUCUGUGUUUGCCUCAUCGCCAUCUGCUCCGGGCCGCGGGCGCGUGUGCGUGCGCCGGGUGUGUAAAUACGGAACCGCGCCAUAAUUUAUUCAGCUGUAUGGAGUAGAUUUAGUAGGAAAGAGAAACUGGUUUUGCUUUAACUACCUGCUGCCUGUAGGUGUCUUUCUGUAACUCAGGCAUAACUGUUAUACAUUAAAAGGAAAAAAAAGGAAAAAAAAAAA
rnacentral:lncRNA from 1 species